rnacentral:sRNA from 1 species
AUCUGUCAGUUACGGGGGCCGCCCGGCGGGCGGGCAGGAGGCGCUCGCAGGCUACCUAGUCGUUCGCUCGCUCUCUCUCGCGUGCUCCGUCUCGCCGCCUGCGGGGAAGUCGGGGCCGCCCGAGCGGCCGCCGCCACCGCCUCGCCCCGACCUCCUUCCCGGUCCCCUCCCGGCCCAGUGCCUCCUGCCCGCGCACCCCGAGUAGUGAGUGGCCCCGCGCAGGGUCUGGAGAGUCACCGCGGCGGCGCCGGGUGGUGGUUAAACCAUGUUAAGGAGGAUUUUACAGAGGGUCACCUAAGCUGGAGUGCAGUGGCGUGAUGUUGGCACACUGCAACCUCCGUCUCCCGGGUUCAAGCGAUUCUCCUGCCCUGGGCUCCCCAGUAGCUGGGAUUACAGACACCUGGGAGAGUUGGCUCUCAAGGUUCUGAUUUAGAUUCAUCAGCAACUCCUAUAAACACAGUGGAUGUCAAUAAUGAAAGCUCUUCAGAGGGUUUCAUAUGUCCCCAGUGUAUGAAAUCUCUUGGAUCUGCUGAUGAACUUUUCAAACAUUAUGAAGCUGUUCAUGAUGCUGGUAAUGACUCAGGUCACGGAGGAGAGUCUAAUCUUGCUUUGAAGCGAGAUGAUGUAGCACUGCUCAGACAAGAGGUCCAAGACCUA